ensembl:lncRNA
CUUUGGCUGGGAAUUGGAUGCUUCAGAAUAUAACACUCACUGAGAUAUUGCAGAUGUUGAAGUAUAGAUGUAUAAAACCGUACAGUAUAAAGAAUAUACUGUGUGUGGAUAAUCAGAGCGUUUUUACAAUCUGUUCACAUGCUGCCACAGAGAAGAGUUAUUCAUUACAAUAGAAAAGCUGAGACAAAGGGGAAAAGGAAUGCCUAAAUAGCUGCAGGCAUAAAACAGCAACAAAUGUGCUACAAACAAUUCAGAUUUUUUGUAUUCAGUAGUCUAAAACAAGAAGGAACAACAAAUGAAGCCAAAGACACCGAAGUCUCUCUCAGAUGCAGUUUCCUACCAGAAUGCAGAGAUUCCCUCUUGAACCUACCCUUGUUCUUCACCUCACUGCUUCAAUGCAGUGUCCUGGAGUUCUUGACCUUGGAGUUCUCAUACCGGCCUGCUUUUGAGAUCCAGACUGCUCUGUUUACCCCAGGCAUCUCCUGAGGAGGGAGAGACCUGAGAAAUGUAGAGGCACACCCCAGCUUCACUUCAAACUCCAG